rnacentral:rRNA from 1 species
CCAAUAGCGUAUAUUAAAGUUGUUGCAGUUAAAAAGCUCGUAGUUGAACUUCGGGGUUAAUCCAUUGGUCAGGCUUAAUUGUCUGCACUGGUGAGAUGAGUCUCUACCUUCUGAGGAACUUUCAUGCCAUUUAUUUGGUGUGGUUGGAAAUCAGGACUGUUCCUUUGAAAAAAUUAGAGUGUUUAAAGCAGGCUAACGUCUGAAUACAUUAGCAUGGAAUAAUGAAAUAGGACGGACUGAUUCUAUUUCGUUGGUUUCUAGGAUCACCGUAAUGAUUAAUAGGGAUAGUUGGGGGCAUUAGUAUUCAAUUGUCAGAGGUGAAAUUCUUGGAUUUAUUGAAGACUAACUACUGCGAAAGCAUUUGCCAAGGAUGUUUUCAUUAAUCAAGAACGAAAGUUAGGGGAUCGAAGACGAUCAGAUACCGUCGUAGUCUUAACCAUAAACUAUGCCGACUAGGGAUCGGACGAAGUUAAUUUUAUAAUGACGCGUUCGGCACCUUACG